CUGUAUAUAAUGGUAUUUACGCAGCUAAUCAACAUCAGGCGUCCUUAUGUGCAGCCACCGUGGUUGUCAUAGAUAUGAAUGAGUAGAUAGGACACGCCCCUUUGAGCUGCGUGCUACAGCGAGGCUAAGCUAGUGGGGACAAGGUUUCAGUGCAUUCUGUUGAUGUAGACGGCGUGAAAACGGAAACAACAAGUAUGCCGUCUCACUGUGCUGCAUACAGUUACACACUACGUCGUACGAUUGAGACAAGGAAACUUGGAAUGACUUUUCAUAGGUUUCCCAGAGACUAUGGGUUGAGGAGGAAUUGGAAGUUUGUCGGCUUAGACCUGGUGUCAUUCCAUCAGUGUUAAACUUCCCGGCUCAUCUUUGAAGAGUACGUGCCAGAAAGACCACGACCAAGCAGCCUUGAGAUCUUAGGCAGCGUCUCCCUCAGGUCCCUCUCUAUCUCCACACAUCCACCAACCACUGGAACACAUCUCCAAAGUUCUGCUGGACCAGCUCAGCUUCCCCUCAGAAGAAGUGGCGCCACCUGCCAGAUGAAGGAGCCUUUUGAGAGGCAGCUGGCAUCGUGAUUGGACUGUACUUUGGUCUGUUCCAAUCCAGCUUCAGCUCCAGAGACGGCAGGCGGGACGAGUCAACGGAGGCCGGGUGGACGAAGACAUGCAGCUGAGUACAAUCCAGAAAACAACAGAGGAGGAGUGCAGGGGCCCAGAGCCAGAACAACCAGAGUAGUCUUAGAAAACAUCAUAAUAUAGCCUCUGGUAUGAAAAAAACACCAUCAUAUACAUCGUAUAUUGUACAAAUAACAAGUCAAAGCAAAGAGACAUACAUUGUAGAAUUGUAGUAAUUGUGGGCUGACUGAUUUACUGAUUAUCAGUAUUUUAUUUUUUACUGAUUUAUGGUAAUAAAUAAAUUUAAAAAUGGCGCUA